GGGGCAUUAGCUCAGCUGGGAGAGCGCAAGGUUCGCAAUCUUGAGGUCAGGGGUUCGAUCCCCCUAUGCUCCACCA
rnacentral:tRNA from 16 species